rnacentral:rRNA from 1 species
UACCAGCACCCCGAGUGGUCGGGACGAUUAUUGGGCCUAAAGCAUCCGUAGCCGGUUUUACAAGUCCUCCGUUAAAUCCAGCUGCUUAACAGAUGGGCUGCGGAGGAUACUAUAAGACUAGGAGGCAGGAGAGGCAAGCGGUACUCAGUGGGUAGGGGUAAAAUCCGUUGAUCCAUUGAAGACCACCAGUGGCGAAGGCGGCUUGCCAGAAUGCGCUCGACGGUGAGGGAUGAAAGCUGGGGGAGCAAACCAG